rnacentral:rRNA from 1 species
UAUAUCCUACGGGACGCAGCAGUAGGGAAUCUUCCACAAUGGGCGAAAGCCUGAUGGUGCAACGCCGCGUUGGUGAAGAAGAUCUUCGGAUCGUAAAACCCUGUUGUUAGAGAAGAAAGUGCGUGAGAGUAACUGUUCACGUUUCGACGGUAUCUAACCAGUAAGCCACGGCUAACUACGUGCCAGCAGCCGCGGUAAUACGUAGGUGGCAAGCGUUAUCCGGAUUUAUUGGGCGUAAAGGGAACGCAGGCGGUCUUUUAAGUCUGAUGUGAAAGCCUUCGGCUUAACCGGAGUAG